CUCACAGCACACAGCAGUCUUUGUAAUUUACACUGACAAAACCUUGGAGUGGAGACUCUGAUAGGAAAUUUAAGUGGAAAAAAAAAAAAAGAGAAAGAGGCACAGAUGAGACGUUUUAUUCUCAUUGACAUUGUCAGAAUUUUGUUUUCAAGAACCUUAAUUGUAAUUGGAGACUUGAAAUGUCAUAGGGGAUUCAUUUUGCAAGACGGAGAAGAGGGAAAAGAGAAUUUUAAAGGUGAUGCUUCUAAAAUUCUGAGAUACCAAGAUUUGCUCUUCUCCAAGGUGGGAAUUACUUAUCUGAUGCAUGAAAUUAAUGAGACUUUGACAUCCAUUUGGCCAGGCCUACCUGAGGGCUGGUUCAUGACCUAAAAAAGAUAACACAGAACCAUCUCUUUUUUGGCCCUCUCCAUUCUGCUGGGGCCUGAUAUUUUAGCAGAGACUGUAGUCCUCAGCACAACUAACAGGGUAAGUGGACUCUGAAUCUGUUUCUACCAAGCUUCUCCUCAUGUUUGCACAAAGUUCUGUGUUUGAUCUAAACAGGAGGAGAACGUAUGGCAUAUCCUUUAUGUCCCUGGGUGUUCUCCAUUUGAAUAUUACUCAAGAAACUAUAAGCUUAGGAGCUAUUGGGGCUUCAUGAAUGAUGAUGCUUAUAUCUGCAUUUGGAUAUUGUGCUGUAUUGAUUUUACAAUGGAUGGAAUCUGACUAGAAGGAGACCUAAACUCUCCAUUAGAACAUAAAGACUCCUGGGAAUCCUCAGAAAUACUGCCUUACUCCCCAAACAGCAAAAGGCUUCUAAAUAUACCAUCAGCAGAAUGGGAGGGCUAUGAUUUAAUGAUGGUAUCCCCUCCGAAAUUCAUAUUGAAACUGAAUCUUAAUGCAACAGUAUUAAGAAGUGUGGCCUCAGGUGGUGAUUAAGUCAUGAGGGCUUCACUCCCAUGAAAGGGCUUUGCUCCAUUAUAAAAGCGGGUGAGUUUAAAGGGAGCUCUCCUGCCAUUCUGUCCCCUCUGCCAUGUGAGGACAGUGUUGGUCCCCUCUGGAGGAUCAGCAACAAAGCACCAUCUUGGAAACAGACUCCAGACUCCAGAGCCUUGAAAAAUAAACUUUUUGUUCUUAUAAAUUACCUAGUCUAUGAUAUUUUGUCUUAGAAGCAUAAAUGGAUGAGGACAGAGAGGUUUGGCUGUAAUCUCCUACUCAUUAAAAUUGUAGGAAAAGAAUGGUUGUUAAAAUCUAGAAAAAAGACUUUUGGGAAGGAAGUAUGUGGAAGCCGUCAUUAAAUGUGCUACUUUCUGAGAACUAGUCAUAUGUUUUAUGAAUCGAAUUGGACAGAGAUUCAGAAGUUUCUAUUUAUUAUUUAUAAGUUAUAUUAAAACACACCUGAAUUGUCAAGACUUUAUGUGCCUGGUGGCAGAAAGCAAUGGAAUGGGGAUGAACAUUAGAAAAACCAGUGAUUUCCUUAGAAAUAUCAGCUUUAAAAUGAAAGAAAAUGACUCUCAAAAUAAUGCCCAUUUAAAAUGUUUUGUAAUGCAGGAAUUUUGUCUGUUUUACUUUAAGGGAUGACUAGAUCUUGUGAUUGAGAACAGAAGAAAACCAGGGAGAAAACAAAUGCUCUAGAAGGGAAUUUUUUUUUUCUUAUGCCGUCCAGAAGGAAUGACAGUCAUUCCUUCAUCAGUGUUGGUACAGAUCAUCAAUCGUACAUCAGUCAUCAGGUGUUACAGAAAUUACACAGAGGCACCCCCUGCUGGAGGGAGGUGUCACUCAGCCAGGCACACCGAGGGAAGACAGAGCCGUCUCUUGUAUUUGUCCUGCUCCUGAUGGACAGAGGGAAAGCAGCACAGAAGAACAUGACUCUAAGGGAAGCAACAGUCAGAAAGAGAUAACACCAGAAACCUCAAACAUAUGAGCGGAGAGAAAUUCUCUCUUAAGAUGCCUGGGAACCUUCCAUGUUGAGACGCUGCCAAGUUACUGAACAAGCAUUGUACAACCUUAUACGAAGUAUUUCCUUUUGCCAAGCCGUUCUGCAGGUGAGGACCAUAAUGGUGACGGUUGAGGGCCCAGGCUACACAAAGUGUGAUACUGCCAAAGUCAGGGCACUUUGCCCAGGGGUACAUGUCCUAGAAGGGGCAUCAGAGAUGCCAUGGUCCAAUCCUGUUUUUUUCUGAGAAGACAGCACUGUGACUUGAAGAGAAUAAAUGAUGGCACAAAAGAAAAAAAGUGGUGGGACCAAAGGUAAAAUUCAGAAGUGCACUGGGGACUGCAAUCUCAGUGUAGUUUUAGAUAUUUUCAGCAUAUGAACAAAAUUGAAGAACUAAAAAUGAUGAUUUGUGGGAAAGAAUGCACACAAAGGCUGUGGUUCAUCCUUGGACUAUUACGGUCCAUUUUAAGAGCAGUAUUCACAAUGAGUCCUAAAGGACAUUAAGGAAACUUCCUUGACAGCCAUGAAGAAUCAGAAUAGGGAAGGUGAAGAGUUCUAUACUUUCACAUUUAAUUAAUGCAUUAAUUAAUGCACAGUUUCAAUAGCAAUUUUUCCUAAGGCAGAUAUCUCUGUUGCCUGCCAUGUUGCUGGAUUCACCACUGUUCAUGCAGUUCUUGAUAUAGUACCUGCUACUUAGAAACUCAAGAAUAUUUGUUAAUGAAAGAAUGACUCAGCUAGGCGCCGUGGCUCACACCUGUAAUCCCAGCACUUUGGAAGGCUGAGGUGGGUGAAUUGCUUAAGGUCAGGAGUUUGAGACCAGCUUGGCCAACUUGGUGAAAUACCAUCUCUACUAGAAAUAUAAAAAAUUAGCCAGGUGUGGUGGUACACGCCUGUUGUCCUAGCCACUCAGGAGGCUGAGGCAGGAGAAUCACUUGAACCUGGGAGAUGGAGGUUACAGCAGUGAGCCAAGAUCAUGCCACUACACUCCAGCAUGGGCAACAGAGCAAGCAAGACUUUGUCUGAAAAAAAAAAAAAAGAAAAAAGAAAGAAAGAAGAAAAAGAAUAACUCUCACAAUUCAAUAUUUAACUUUAUGCCAUAGUAGCUUUUUUAUUCUAAGAUAAAGGUGAAUUUUUCUAAAUGAGAAUAUAGAAAUAAUGGUACCUUUACUGCAUCUAAUGUUGAAUUACCCACACCUCCAUGUUUGAUGGAGCUGGAACUAUUCAGCUCUCUAUUCCUUGGGAUAUAUUUAACCCAUAUUAUGUGCUUAUAAAACAAAGGCAUCAAAAAACUGUUUUAGAAUGAAAGAUGUUCAAGAACAGAAAUCUCAAAUCCGUGAAUGUCUUGGGUAGUAGCUUUCAUGUGUAGCAGAAUAAUUCUAGAUAUGCAAAGUUCUGGUGAAUUUCCAACAGUUUCCUUUUUAUCAAUUCCUGUGAUCAACUCUGAGAAGCCUCUAGUAUUAUGUGUCUUCUGCCAACACUGCUGGCACAGCAUUAUCCACAGACUUUUUACAUGCUAAUCCAAGACACAGACCUUGAGUGAUUCUUCCCCUUAGCAUCCACUCCCUGGGCUCCUUGGUGUCAGACUUGAAGAAGACAAGUCUCCGAGAAGCAUUGCUUCUGGGAAGGAACUAGAUACGUGGAGAAGAUGUGGUAUGUUUGGGAGACGAUAUAGUGAAAGGAAAGAAUGAAACCUGAGGUGAAAAUGAAGGAUUCUGAUCAAAUGAAAGCAAAACAAGACACCUGACUGGUCUUCUGCUAACUGUCCCUCCCAUCCAUCAAAGAAACUACACAGAGGGGAGUAUAAAUGACAAAAUAGUGUGAUUUUAAACAUUCCAUGCUGUCAAAAAUGCAGAUAGGAAUAAAAAAGGAUCAGACUGCAUUCAUGUAAAACUAUUACAAAAAUCAGUAAAUAGAAGUCUCUGCUAAUUAAAAGUCUUUUCAUAAAAGCAUUCAGGCAGCUGACGGAAAAGGUAUAACACUCCAAACUGCACAAAAAAGUUUGUUUAUGUGAAAAAAUUACUUUGAAUCAGAAAAACAAGAACCAAUAACAGAAAUGGAAAGACAACAAGAAUGAAUAAAAGGAAAGUUAAUUGAGCUCAGGAAAGAAAUAGAAGAAAACUAUAAAUUUAUAUCAGACAUGAAAGCACAUAAAGAACUAAUGCAAAAAAAAAACCAGGAAGUAAAAUUUUACAUAUAUCAACCAAGGAAAAUACCUGCAAAAUAAUAAUUAUAAAACAGACUGCAACUCCAAGUCGAUGAUCAAACAGAGUCAAAUAUAAUGAGUCAUUCGUGGAAAUAAAAUUUACCUUGAAUCAGAAAUUCUAGGCGGGGUGCGGUGACUCAUGCCUGUAACCCCAGCACUUUGGGAGGCCAAGGCAGGUGAAUCACUUGAGAUCAGGAGUUCAAGACCAGCCAGACCAACAUGGUGAAAUCCCAUCGCUACUAAAAAUAUAUAUAUAUAUAUUAGCCGGUCCUGGUGGCACACACCUGUAAUCCUAGCUACUUGGGAGGAUGAUACAGGAGACUCACUUGAACCCAGGAGGCAGAGGUUCCAGUGAGCUGAGAUCAGGACACUGCACUCAGGCCUGGGAGACAGAUAGAGACUCUGUGAAAGAAAGAAAGAGAGAAAGAAUGAAAGAGAGAGAAUAAUGAAGUAUGAAGGAAUGAAGCAUGAAGG
ensembl:lncRNA